rnacentral:tRNA from 1 species
CUCACUUCCAAUUAGGAUCUGCUACAUAAGCAGUUGGGCCCAUGCCCCAAAAACGGUGUUACACCUCCUAAUG